rnacentral:rRNA from 1 species
GACGAACGCUGGCGGCGUGCCUAACACAUGCAAGUCGAACGGAAAGGCGCUGCUUUUGCGGGGUGCUCGAGUGGCGAACGGGUGUGUAACACGUGAGUAUCCCGCCCCUGACUUUGGGAUAACUUCAGGAAACUGGGGCUAAUACCGGAUAGGAGCUCCUGCUGCAUGGUGGGGGUUGGAGAGAUUCGGCGGUGGUGGAUCGACUCGCGGCUUAUCAGCUUGUUGGGGGGGUAGUGGCUUACCAAGGCUUCGACGGGUAGCCGGCCUGAGAGGGUGACCGGCCACAUUGGGACUGAGAGACGGCCCAGACUCGUACGGGAGGCAGCAGUGGAGAAUAUUGCACAAUGGGCGGAAGCCUGAUGCAGCGACGCCGGGUGCGGGAUGACGGCCUUCGGGGUAUAAACCGCUUUCGCCUGUGACGUAGCGGGAGUGACGGUAACGGGUAAAGAAGCACCGGCUAACUACGUG